CAGCACUGGUAAGUGACCCACUGGCCUUCCCCAUGACCAACUGGGCAUCGACCAGUGCAAGAGUAAAUCCCUCCAUGAGCUGGGAGCGUCACACUGUGGACUGCUUCUGCAUGCAGGGGGGUACAUUC
ensembl:snoRNA